rnacentral:rRNA from 1 species
CCUACGGGCGGCACCAGUGGGGAAUAUUGCACAAUGGGCGCAAGCCUGAUGCAGCGACGCCGCGUGAGGGAUGACGGCCUUCGGGUUGUAAACCUCUGUUAGCAUCGAAGAAGCGAAAGUGACGGUAGGUGCAGAGAAAGCACCGGCUAACUACGUGCCAGCAGCCGCGGUAAUACGUAGGGCGCGAGCGUUGUCCGGAAUUAUUGGGCGUAAAGAGCUUGUAGGCGGUUGGUCGCGUCUGCUGUGAAAGGCCGGGGCUUAACUCCGGUUUUGCAGUGGGUACGGGCUAACUAGAGUGCAGUAGGGGAGACUGGAAUUCCUGGUGUAGCGGUGGAAUGCACAGAUAUCAGGAGGAACACCGAUGGCGAAGGCAGGUCUCUGGGCUGUAACUGACGCUGAGAAGCGAAAGCAUGGGGAGCGAACAGGAUUAGAUACCCGUGUAGUC